rnacentral:ncRNA from 1 species
UAUUCUACAAUGGGGUGCCCUCAAUAAUCGGGCUGAGAUCAUACCCUCUGAACCUGGUCGGGUAAUGCCGACAAGGGAAAGUGUUUAUCUCCAAC